AAAAUUGUUAGUUUCCUCUGCUUUGUCUACUGUUUUCAGGUGUUCAGAUAAACAUCGAGAAGAUGCGCUAAAAGCAUUGGAAUUUAUUUUAAAGGAUUUGCAACUUGAUUACUACCUUGACCUGUAUCCGGUAAGCAUUAACUUUUAUGCAUAUGUUAAUAAUGAAACACAAAUACGAUACCAACACUGAUACAUAGCCAUAACUAAUGAUUUGAAGAAAU
rnacentral:lncRNA from 1 species